rnacentral:rRNA from 1 species
GACGUAGGGGACGAGCGUUGUCCGGAUUCAUUGGGCGUAAAGAGCUCGUAGCGGUGUGUCGCGUCGGCCGUGAAAACCUGCAGCUUAACUGUGGGCUUGCGGUCGAUACGGGCAUCACUGGAGUUCGGCAGGGGAGACUGGAAUUCCUGGUGUAGCGGUGAAAUGCGCAGAUAUCAGAAGAACACCCGUGGCUAAGGCGGCCUCUCUAGUACGGUACUGACGCUGAGACGCGAAAGCGUGGGGAGCGAACAGG